GCUGGGCUCCCGGGCAGUUAUGACGGCUGUUACAGGAGAGGAGCGCACAGGAAGAAAUGCCUCAUUGCGGGAAUAAGGGAGGCCUGGCAAAGAGAUCCAGCUAGGGACUGGCCCAUAAAUAGCCAGGAUGACAGACCAAGGGAGAGGCACCCAGCUGGCCUCUGGAAGGGAGUUUUUCUGGGGCCUCUCCUGCAGUGAAAACCUCCCCGGAGUCCCUGAAGCUGUGCUGGAGGAUGAGUACAGUGGACAGGACGUGAGAUGGACUGCAUUUCUCAGGUCAUGUGACUGAAUUCUGGUCCAAGGAAUGUGCCUGCCUCAGUGUGUGGCUCGACAAACCGCCCAUGCUCUUCCCUAAGGGCUCUCUCUUCCCAACCCAGCUGGCUGGAUGCAGAGGAUCCAGCAGACGAUGCUGAGCUCCUAGGAGAUGGCGACAGAGCCACACAACGGAAGCCUGACAGCCUGGACCACCUCUCCCUAAACCGCACGGCACUGGACUAUGUUGUGAACCAAAAAAUAAGCCUUUGUUUUGUUAAGCCACUGAGAUUCGGGGUUUGUUAUUCAUACGCAGUGAUUCUUCCUCACCGAUACAAAUAUUUAGGUGUGCUCAAGGUCAUCCGAGAAAAACAAAAUAAAAAAAGGAUACAACUUCACUUAUUCUCAUUAGACUGGCAAAAAUUGGUAAAGUAGAUCAUUCCAAGUGUGAUGGGGGUUGGAGGAUGUGUGUGUAUGUGUGUGUGUGUGUGUGUGUGUGUGUGUGUGGUGAUAGGAAGUCUCACCGCUAUUGGGCAGCCUUGCUGGGGGCAAUCUGGUGGUUCUUCGUAAAAUUAAAUAUGUGGAUACUAUGAAUCAGCAUUUCUACUCCUGGGGAUACAUACCCCAUGAAAAUUCUCAUACAGGUCUAUACAGAGGAGACACAAGUAUCUACAGAAUGUGGUGCUGGGGAGUUGGGGGCAAUCUGGGUGUCCGUCACCAGGGAAAUAGGUAAUAAACCAGGGGAUGCAAGUCAUGGAGGAUGCAGCGUAGUGGACCGCAUGGCACAGCGCAAUGUGCAUAGGCCUUCAACGCAUGGUGAAAAUAAUGUAAACAAAAACACAUGCAUAAAAGAGUUCCUAUUGUGGCUCAGCAGGUUAAAAACCUGACAUAGUGUCCAUGAGGAUGUGGGUUCCAUCCCUGGCCUCACUCAGUGGGUUAGGGAUCCAGAUCCUGCGUUGCCAUGGCUGUGGUGUAGGCUGGCAGCGGAAGCUCUGAUUUGACCCCUAACCUGGAACUUCCAUUUGUCACAGGUGUGGCCCUAGAAAGAAAAAAAAGAAAGAAAAAAAAAGGCACAAGGAAAAACAGUACAUAUUUUAUAAAAAAUACGCAUAAAUUACAUAGAUUAAAUACCUCAGAAUGGUUGCCUAUGGGGAGAAUGAGAGUAGGAAAUGGGAGGUUGGGGAGUUCCCUCUAUGGCUCAGUGGUUAAUGAACCAGACUCGUAUCUGUGAGGAUAUGGGUUCGAUCCCUGGCCUCACUCAGUGGGUCAGGGAUCCGGUGUUGCCUGAACUGAGGUGUAGGUUGCAGAUGUGGCUCGGAUCCCGAGUUGCUGUGGCUGUGGUGUAGGCCAGCUGCUCCAGCUCGGAUUUGACCCCUAGAAUGGGAAUUUCUAGCCUGGGAAUUUCUGUAUGCUGUCAGUGCGGCCCUAAAAAGCAAAAAAAGAAAAAA
rnacentral:lncRNA from 1 species